CAGCAGCCACGGGAAUACGAAGGGGGCUAGCGUUGUUCGGAUUUACUGGGCGUAAAGGGCGCGUAGGCGGACUGAUAAGUCAGGGGUGAAAUCCCAAGGCUCAACCUUGGAACUGCCUUUGAUACUGUUUGUCUUGAGUUCGAGAGAGGUAAGUGGAACUGCGAGUGUAGAGGUGAAAUUCGUAGAUAUUCGCAAGAACACCAGUGGCGAAGGCGGCUUACUGGCUCGAAACUGACGCUGAGGCGCGAAAGCGUGGGGAGCAAACAGGAUUAGAUACCCGCGUAGUCCCUGUCUCUUAUAC
rnacentral:rRNA from 1 species